UGGAUUAGUGGCGAACGGGUGAGUAACACGUGAGUAACCUGCCCUUGACUCUGGGAUAAGCCCGGGAAACUGGGUCUAAUACCGGAUAGGAGCGCCUGUCGCAUGACGGGUGCUGGAAAGAUCUUUCGGUCAUGGAUGGACUCGCGGCCUAUCAGCUUGUUGGUGAGGUAAUGGCUCACCAAGGCGACGACGGGUAGCCGGCCUGAGAGGGUGACCGGCCACACUGGGACUGAGACACGGCCCAGACUCCUACGGGAGGCAGCAGUGGGGAAUAUUGCACAAUGGGCGGAAGCCUGAUGCAGCGACGCCGCGUGAGGGAUGACGGCCUUCGGGUUGUAAACCUCUUUCAGUAGGGAAGAAGCGAAAGUGACGGUACCUGCAGAAGAAGCACCGGCUAACUACGUGCCAGC
rnacentral:rRNA from 1 species